rnacentral:pre_miRNA from 1 species
ACAUGGCUCCGUCGACGGAGCCAUGUAGAUUUGUUUAUUGGGUAAAGGGAAAUGAAGCGGCGAUUAUUUAAAUCGCUGCUUCAUUUCCCUUUACCCAAUAAACAAAUCUACAUGGCUCCGUCGACGGAGCCAUGU